rnacentral:lncRNA from 1 species
AGAGUUUAAGGGCUGAAAUUUAGUCCUUCACCAGUGACAUGUAAGAGGCUCUGAGUGCUGUUCCUCUGUGAUCAUUAAUUAGGGGCUGAACAUUGCGAUACGUUGUUUUUAAUCAAUUGCUCGUUCCUUUCCCUUUCCAUUUUUCUAUCAGUGUUUCUAAUUUUUCUUCUUGAUUAUGAAUUCCUCAUUCUGUGUUCAGAAUAUGUGCCUGUGAUGUGUAUUUCAAAAUGUUUUUCUGAUUUAUCAUUUCCUUUUUAAUUUUGUCUAUAGUUUCUUGCUAUCCACUUAAAAUGUAAUCUAAUCUGUCGGUUUUGUCCUUUAAAUCUCAUUUGCAAUCAUGAUUAGAAAGCUCUUUUAACUUUAUGGCUAUUUGAAUAUUCAUCUUUCUUGUCUGGUCUGGUGUUUUGUUAGUGCUGCACUCUCUCUGGUGUAUUCCCCAAGGCCGUCCAGCAGAGACUCUACUCUCAUGCGGGUUUGUAGCUGCCCUUAACUAAUAACAACAACUUUAAAAACAUCUUUCUAGGUCCAUCAGUUUUCAGAUGUUAAUAGCUGAUUUGGAUCAGAAAAACACUCCAAUUUUAUUUCCUUGUUUUUCAAACCUCAUUACUGGAAUGAAGUGGCUUCCACAUUGAUUGGAUUAGUGGAGAAACAUGACACUUGAGAUGCUCAGAUUACCAGGGUCUUUUUAAAAUUUAAAACAACUGAAAUGUUGCUUGUCUUUAAGGCCCAGUCUCAGGGUCUGCUUUGGCUGUGGGAGGCUCCUCCGGCUGCUGUGCUACUGGAAUUCCCAGGACAGAGUUCUUUCUUUUAAUAUUUCCUUUCCUGUGUUUAAAGGGCUUCACCUUUUUUGUCUGUACCAAGCCUGCUCCUCGGCUCACACCACUGAUGGGAGCCAGGGAUUGUGGAGAACUGUCACUGUCAUCCACGGCCGUGCCACGUGCUGGAAGGUAGUGGCCAUAUGCCCUGAUUCACCCAGGACAGUGUAAGGCUCUGCUGCCAGGUUCCCAAGGCUCUGCUGCAGGACAGUCCCUAAGUCAGGCUCGGAGACCCAUGCGAUUCUCCCAAGUAACUUGAGCUGGAAUUGAGGAACCAAGCCACAGUGAUAGGGAAUCACUCAAUAAUUGUCCUAAGCUGACGUUUUUGAUCGCUUGUUGCCACAAACUGUGCUGAGAAGGUUUCAUAAGCCAGGAUUCCUGGGCUGUGUGAAAGAGUUGAGAACCACCGAAGAUCAGCUUGGAAACACUCCACUAGGCAUGUGAGGUUGCCACUGGGCAAAGGGAGGGCCCUCAGGGUCUGUUUCCAGUUCAAAAUUUUACUCUUCAGUAGGUAGUUUUAAAAAGUAAAUAUCCAAGGUUUCCCUCUCUCUCCUGCUCUCUCAGUGAGGCCUUUCUUGACAACCACAUAAAAGCCUCCCUCCCUCUCCCGGGGGACCUCUAGACCUUUUGUUCUUUCUUUAACUAAUUAUUCUAUUCAUUGUCUAAGCUCCACACACCCCCCCUCCC